rnacentral:misc_RNA from 1 species
UAAUCUUUUACAUCAACAAAGACUGUUGCAGAUGCAACAACAACAUCAUCAACAGCAACUCUUGAAAGCAAUGCCACAGCAACGACCUCAAUUAGCACAGCAAUUUCAACAGCAGAAUUUGCCUCUGAGAUCUCCUGUGAAAGCAGGGUAUGAACCGGGGAUGUGUGCUCGUCGACUCACACAUUACAUGUAUCAGCAACAGCACAGACCUGAAGACAACAAUAUUGAGUUCUGGAGAAAAUUUGUGGCAGAGUUUUUUGCUCCACAUGCAAAAAAGAAGUGGUGUGUUUCUAUGUAUGGAAGUGGCAGGCAAACAACUGGAGUUUUUCCUCAGGACAUAUGGCACUGUGAAAUUUGCAAUCGCAAGCCAGGCCGUGGCUUUGAGGCAACUGUUGAGGUUCUUCCCAGGCUUUUCAAAAUCAAAUAUGAAAGUGGUACCUUGGAAGAACUUCUUUAUGUUGAUAUGCCACGUGAAUAUCAAAACUCAUCUGGUCAAAUUGUCUUGGACUAUGCAAAAGCAAUACAGGAAAGUGUUUUUGAGCAACUUCGUGUUGUUCGGGAUGGUCAGCUACGGAUAGUCUUCUCUCCAGACUUGAAGAUAUGCUCUUGGGAAUUUUGUGCACGGCGCCAUGAAGAGCUUAUCCCUCGAAGAUUGUUAAUACCACAGGUUAGCAGUGAACCAUUUUGCUUAAUGCUACAAAAAAGUUCUUUGUUACUAUUAGUUCCUGAGUAAAAGUUUUAAGAAUGAGGAACCUCUGUCAUAUAAAACUCAGUUGGCUUAUUUGACAUUUUGUAUUUGUUUUGGGGUUAGUUUUUAUUCAAAUUGAUGAUGGAUUUAAUAGUUUUAGAAUUGUCCUGAAAUCCAUGCUCACUACUGUUAUUGCACUGCAGGAAUUUCUCCAAUAGAAAUUAUAGAACAAGAGUAACUCAUUAUCCCUGUAUUGGUAUCUUUGUGUCUAUGAUAAGAUGCAAUUAUCUAGAGGAAGUUUGGCAUAAUUUUUUAGUGAAUAUAUUAGUUAAUGAUAUUUUGAUCUUAAUUGCUAUAACAUGAAUGAGAUUCUCUAUCUACCCAGUUUUUCUUGUCAUUUCUUUUCCUCAAUCUAGAUUCUCUUUGUUCAUAAUUCUAAAUAAUCAUUAAUUAAAUGAGCCUAGGGUUUUUCAUGUUUUAAUGUUCUGAAAAUUCUCUCAAGUAUUUGAUGAAUGUGAAAUAAUGGCUAAUUGCAAGUGAAAUUAAUUGAAUUUUCUAUGGCAUUUGAUGUUAGUUUGAUUAUGUGUUAUAUGUGGGCUCAGUUGACAUCACCCGAUCACCAUAAUGCACUGGUAGUUGUGUACUUGUGUCUCUCAACACGUACAUGGAGUUUUAUUUUUGUAGCAUAAUUGCAAUGCCAAAAAAUAUCUGUUGGCUCAUGUUACUGGAUUGGGAUCAUAUAAAUAAACCAGACAUCAAAAUAUGCUUACUUGGCAAUGAAAGAUUUUUAUCUAUAACUAUUAAAUUACUCUGUAUGUUACCUACACAUGCACAAACUAAGUGAGGAAUAGGAAAGCAAUUAUCUGCCAAGUAAAAUUUUAUUAUUUUGAUGAAAAAGUUAUAUUAUUCUUCUUUAUGUCAUUCUCAGUUGCUUUGACAUUGUUUUCCUCCUUUUCUUCUUACAUAUGAAAAGGGUUAUACUUUAUGAUAUCCAAUAAUAAUACUAGUACAAGCAAUAUAAAAUAAAACCAUAUGAUCUUUCAGUUGAACCUGGACUAUGUUUUGUGCAUUUUAUUUAGAUUGGAUGCAGUAUUGAUGAUGACUAGUUUAUACCUCUUUUUAACAGAAAAUGCAAAGCACCCUUUAAUGUUCUGUUCUUCACCAAACAAACAUUGAGUAGUGUUUAGGUGGAAGUUUUCUGCAAUUCUGCUGUGGCAUUGCAACCGGAAUUUUUAAAUAUUUCUUACUGGCAAAUAUUAUACUUGAAUAUAUAUAUAUAUAUUUUUAUAUUUUGCAGGUCAGUCAGCUUGGUGCUGCAGCUCAAAAAUACCAGGCUGCUUGUCAAAAUGCAUCAUCUAAUUUAUCCGUUCCAGAUUUGCAAAAUAAUUGUAACAUGUUUGUUGCAUCAGCUCGGCAACUUGCAAAAGCUUUGGAAGUGCCAUUGGUGAAUGAUUUAGGAUAUACAAAGAGAUAUGUGAGGUGCCUGCAGGUGAUGUCAUAAAUCCUUUUAUGGUCAAAUGUAGCUUCAUGGAACUUAUGUCGACCAUCAGGUGUUAAAGGCUACAGAUGGUGCAUAUCUUCUGCAUGUAUCUCAGUGACUGGGUGUGCUUUUGGGAUUAAUGUAAAUUUUGGAUUAGAAAUGAUGCCCUUAGUUUGAGAUACUAUAACACUUCCAUUUUCUGUGCUAUGUAUCUCCUUUCUGAUUGGGUUUUAAUUUUUAAAUGUUCCAUUGGUAUUUGAUCUAUAUGCUUUCUCCUGUACUGCCUUUCUUUCACUGAAACAAUAAUUUUCCUUUUAAUCAGCCUCUACAAAGUUGUGAUUUCUGUGUUUUGUUUGUGGAGUCUGUGCAUGUCUCAUUACUAAUAUUUUCUCUUUCCAUAUUCAUAAUGAUAUUUACUGCAGGACUUAAUGAAGGUCAAAGUGUAUGUGAACAUUUUUUCAAAAAAGCAAGGGAAAUCUCAAAUCUCUGUUUAGAUAAUCGUGAUGUCCAAAUGCAUGAUAUUGUAAUAGGUUUCAUGAUUUUCAUUAGCAUCUGGGAAAUAGAUAUUCCUCUAUCUCUUUUGUGCAUAUGCUACUGCCUAGCACUUGCUUCCCUUUAAUUUGGGAUUUCUGAAGUCUCUUGCAUCUUAUUUGGCAUUGGUUUGCUCCUUUUAUUCAAGAAACUAUUUUUAUCAGUAGUCUUAAAAUACUUGCAAAUUGCUUUAGGUCUCGAGUAAUGGCUUGUUGCUAUGAGCUAUGUAUUCAUUGCAUUGCUGAAACUAUUUUGAUUACAGUUUAGCUGUAGUUUUUUCAUGAUUUGAUGGGUGCAACUUGUAGUGGUUCUACGUACCUGCUAUUGCAAGCAGUUUCAAAUGAUUUGUUUUUUUCUUGUAUAAUAUCUAUAAAUUAUUCUCUUACUAUUUUAUAGAAAUGGCGUUUGAAAAGAUCUUUUGAAUUGCUGCAUUUUAAUAGAUCGUUGCUGUAUUUUUUUUUUCCUGACAAUUGGUUCAAUAUUGCUGCAGAUAUCUGAAGUGGUUAAUAGUAUGAAAGACUUGAUUGAUUACAGCCGAGAAACAGGGAAUGGGCCAAUGGAGAGCUUGGCCAAGUUCCCUCGGAGGACAAGUGCUUCAUCUGUGUUUCAUAGUCAAGCUCAACAGUCUGAGGAACGGCUACAACAGCAGCAAACAAUGCCCCAGAACUCAAACAGUGAUCAAAUUUCUGCACAUGUUGAUGGAAUGCAGAUUGCUGCUAGCAAUGGCGUGUCUAGUGUAAAUAACUCCCUCGGUAUGACAUCUGUGUCUACUUCUGCCAGUGCUAUUGCUGGGAUUCUCCACCAGAAUUCUAUGAAUUCAAGACAACAAAGUUCUAUGAAUAAUGCAAGCAGUCCCUAUGGAGGCAAUUCUGUUCAGAUUCCAUCUCCUGGUUCCUCUAGCACAAUUCCACAGUCCCAACCUAAUCCUUCUCCUUUCCAAUCACCAACACCUUCAUCCAAUAAUCCCACGCAAACAUCUCAUUGUGCCUUAACAGCUGCCAAUCACAUUGGCUCUACAAACUCACCAGCAAAUAUUCCGUUGCAACAACAAGCUCUUUCUGGUGAAGCUGACCAUAGUGAUGCUCAAAGCUCUGUUCAGAAAAUCAUGCAUGAAAUGAUGAUGUCCAACCAACUUAAUGGCACAGGUGGUGUGGUUGGGGUUGGUUCUUUGGGGAAUGAAAUGAAAAAUGUUAAUGGGAUUUUGCCAACAGGCAACAAUGCAGUUCUCAACGGGGGAAAUGGCCUGGUGGGGAAUGGAACAGUCAAUAAUUCUGGAAUGGGGGGUGGUGGAUUUGGCACCAUGGGCAGCGGACUUGUGCAGUCUGCUAUGGUUAAUGGAAUUAGAGCUGCAAUGGGUAAUAACACGGUGAUAAAUGGACGUGUGAGUGUACCAUCGAUGGUUCGAGACCAAACCAUGAAUCUUCAACAUGAUUUGGGGAACCAACUGCUUAGUGGGCUAGGAGCAGUUAAUGGAUUUAAUAAUCUUCCGUAUGAUUGGAAACCAUCCCCGUGAAGGCUCUAUCAAUGAUACUGGUGUUUCAGUUCUUGAUUGUAGCUGCUUGUGUAGCAUGAGCGUGGGCAGAAAUUCCUACAGCCCUGUGAAGAUGGUAUUGCAUGGUGGAAUAGUUCAGGGCUAACUUCCCACUUUGUACUAAUUUCAGGAAAAAGUAAAACAUAUAGCAUAGUGUUUUAUCAAUGAAAUGUUAAAUCCUCUUCGAGUUGUUUCUUUUUUCUUCUAAUUGUUCUGAUUUAUGAUUCAAUACAGCCUCUUUUCCCACUAACAGUCUAGGAAUGGGAUUCAGGGGGGAAAUUUGUCUGGUUGAAAGCUCUUUUCCUGUGUAGUUCCGGGCUUCCUGCCACUUACCAGAGUUGUGAAAAUAGCGUAUGUAUUUGCCUCUCUCUCUCUCUCUCUCU